ensembl:lncRNA
CGGGGUCGAGCCCUUCUUGGGGACCGGGGUGUUCCGGUCGCUGAUCACCAUGGUGGUGCUCCACGCCCAACAACCACCUCCUUGGGAUGCCCUUCCUGGGUCUCUGGGUGUUGUUCUCUCUGGGUCUCUAGUGUUGUUCUCUCUAGUCUCUAGUGUUGUCUCUCUACUGUUAUCUCCCUAGGUCUCUAGUGUUGUCCUCUCUAGUCUCUAGUGUUGUCCUCUCUAGUGUUGUCCUAUCUGUGUCUCUAGUGCUGUCCUCUCUGGUCUCUAGUGCUGUCCUCUCUGUGUCUCUAGUGCUGUCCUCUCUGGUCUCUAGUGCUGUCCUCUCUGUGUCUCUAGUGCUGCCCUCUCUAGUGCUGUCCUCUCUGGUCUCUAGUGCUGUCCUCUCUGUGUCUCUAGUGCUGUCCUCUCUGGUCUCUAGUGCUGUCCUCUCUGUGUCUCUAGUGCUGUCCUCUCUGUGUCUCUAGUGCUGCCCUCUCUAGUGUUGUCCUCUCUGUGUCUCUAGUGUUUUCCUCUCUGGGUCUCUAUUGUUGUCCUCUCUGGUCUCUAGUGCUGUCCUCUCUUAGUCUCUAUUGUUGUCCUCUCUUAGUCUCUAUUGUUGUCCUCUCUUAGUCUCUAUUGUUGUCCUCUCUGGUCUCUAUUGUUGACCUCUCUUAGUCUUUAUUGUUGUCCUCUCUGGGUCUCUAUUGUUGACCUCUCUUAGUCUCUAUUGUUUUCCUCUCUGGGUCUCUAUUGUUGUCCUCUCUGGGACUCUAGUGCUGUCCUCUCUGGGACUCUAGUGUUUUACUGGCUGGGUCUCUAGAGUUCUCCUCUCUGUUCUCUAUUGUUGUCCUUUCUUUGACUCUAGUGUUGUCUUCUCUUGUCUCUGGUGCUGUCCUCUCUAGUGUUGUCCUCUCUAGUCUCUAGUGUGGUCCUCUCUGGUCUCUAUUGUUGUCCUUUCUCUAAUGUGGUCCUCCCUGGGUCUCUAUUGUUUUACUGGCUGUGUCUCUCGUGCUGUCCUCUCUGGUCUCUAGUGCUGUCCUCUCUGGGUCAUGAGUGUUUUACUGGCUCUAUUGUUGUCCUCUCUGGGUCUCUAUUGUUGUCCUCUCUGGGUCUCUAGUGUUGUCCUCUCUGGGUCUCUAGUGUUGUCCUCUCUGGGUCUCUAAUGUUUUACUGGCUGGGUCUCUAGUGUUCUCCUCUCUGUUCUCUAGUACUUCUAUCAUGAUUUUUAAUGUUAAUGUGGAAUGUUAUAUCACUCUACUCAAACAUGUGAUAUAACAGAUCCAGAUAUGAAGUGUGUACAGAUCUGGCCCUGUAGCCUACUAUCACAUGCUUGAGUAAAACGAUUUACUUAUGCUAGACAUUACUUCAGUAUUACAAACAUGAUACACAUUUCAUAUAGAUUUGAUAAAGUCGAAGAGUUUAAAUCAACAGGGACAUAAAAUGGUAUGUGAUACUGUACAAGAGCGUAUAAGCCUUUCAUUAACGGAUGGCCACAGUUGAAUAACAUCCACCUGUAGCUACUAUGGCUACUACAAUUACUGAAUAGGUGGAAAACGCCAACAGAAAACACCAUAUCAUUACCAGUGUAUUCCAAUUUUUUUAAUUAGUUCAAACCGAGCAGACAAAUGUUAAAGAUCUACGAUGGCACAAAGACAUGUGUAUUUGCUAAUACGAAGAACAAAAAAACACAUACCCUUUUUCCUCGCGAUGUCUCCUACUCAUCAGCAGGUACAGUUCAAUGUGUGUUACAGGAUUUUAAAUUAAAAUCCCGGCUUAAUGGAGAGGUUCACGUGGGGGUUCGAUCCCAAACAGGCGGUGUGCAUCACGCUCGGUCCUUCGUGGUAAAUGACGAGCAUCGGGAACCCCAUCGGUCACACAUCCACAGAGAACGCGAGGCAAUACGGCGCGACUUAAACCCCCUUUACCGGGAGAAAAAAAUACUACUACUAGAGAUGACAUCCGGACAAUUCUCCUGAAAUCUGAUACACGUAAAUGGCUUAAACUGUGCGCGCUGAUUCGGACCGAAUAACCCGCCACACGCACGCGGCGCGGAAGGUUGGCUACAGAAACGGAAGACCGAACUGUGGUGUCUGCUACAUCUGUUGUGCUACGGUCGUUCAAAAUGCAACGAGGGCAAUCGUCUGCUCUCCUCCCGCCUGUAAUGGGUAAACCGCGAGACGCUCCUCCUGCUCGAGCUGUCCACCGCUCAUCCCUCCGAAGUCGCGCGUGGAAGCCUAAUCAAAAGAGCUGUCUACGUACGCUCUAUGCAAAGAUCGGGGGGGAUUAUGAAGGUGAUACUCCUAGGACCCCCUAGUGGACACAUCUGUUGCAGGGUCAAAC